AUCAGGAUCAAAUGUGUCCAGCUCUGUGUUUCUAUUGAAUGACCGCUUAAAGCUACAUCAAAACAUCAGCUCAAAAGAUCAUCUACCAGACCUCAGGGAGAAAACACCAUCAUCUGCCAAAAGUGUGAGAUCAGGAUCAUGUGUGUCCAGCUCUGUGUAUCUGAAGAGUGACGGGUCAA